rnacentral:sRNA from 1 species
AGAAGAUAAAUAUGAGGAAGAAAUCAAGAUUCUUACUGAUAAACUCAAGGAGGCAGAGACCCGUGCUGAGUUUGCUGAGAGAUCGGUAGCCAAGCUGGAAAAGACAAUUGAUGACUUGGAAGGUAUGGAACCUGGAGUAGGGAUUGAAAUAGAGAAAUAUAGAGGAAGACUGCCCAUUAACCAUUAAUCUCUUUUUCUGUACACCAAAGGAAGUUGGUAGUGACUUGGCAUGUAUUAAUAUCAUGUGCACUGUCCUAUGCCACAGCUAGGCAAAGUGGGUCAAACUCUAGAAUUGGUUUUUUAAAUUUAAUCUUUUCCUUUAAGAAGACUUUACCAAAUAGUCUGCAAUUUGUACCCUUCCCUUUGAGGAGAAUGAUAAUGGCUGCAUUUACCUCCAAUUUAUUAGUCUUAAACCUUUAGUCUGUGGGUUUAAAUGGAAGCCAUGAUUUCAGAAGGGCAAGAUGUAUGUCAUUUCAUGGCUACUUUCCACAGUUCUUUUUGCCACUCGAGCUGUCGGGUAUUUAUCCAAUAAAUGAAGUUGUGGAAUAACCGUAUCUGAACAUUGACCAAUGUCAGGAGCUUUCUAAAUACUUUCUGUCCCUGCAAGUUGGUCACUGCCAUCCACCCUGACAAGGGAACGUACUCUUUGCUUUGAGAACUCUGAUGUAUGCUCCUUUGGUACACUCUCUUGGCAGAGUUGCAGGGGCAGCCUGUGGAGCAGAGGGGCCACUAAUAGGUUCACAUUUUGUAGGCAGAGAAGUGUCUGAAUAUGGAUAUAUACUCUCUCCCUUUGCUAUUUUUGUUCAAUUAAGUGUUAUCACUGCUAGGAAUUGGGUACCUGGAUGGGAGUGGUAUCCUCUUGAGUGCUU